rnacentral:lncRNA from 1 species
UCUCCAGUCCCUAGCUACUACCCUUCUCGUUCUCUCUCCAGUCCCCAGCUACUACCCCUCUCUCUCCCAGUCAUAGCGACUACAUUCUCUUCUCUUCCAGUCCUAGCUACUACCCUUCUCUC